rnacentral:lncRNA from 1 species
UCCACCUGCCUCCCAAGUGCUAGGAUUAAAAGUGUGUGCCACGCACUACCGGGCAAGAACCACUUUUCUAAAUAAGCCCUCACUUAUCCAUGUUCCUGUAAACAACUACAAGAAACUAGUUCACCAAGCAAGACUUGGAUACAACUGUUUCUUUGAUCUUUCAUCAGCACCCUACCUCAGUUAAGCUGAUGUUGUUCAUGUUUCCCCAGGAAAAUAACAAAGCAUAGAGAAAGGUGUUUUGAGGAGAACCUGUAUUACAGUGACUUGCUUGGCUAUUUUUUCAAGUAGAAACAUUUCCUCCUGGACUUAUAAGUCUCAAAAAGCUAAUGAAAUGCAACUUGAUUAGAAAUCUCUUAAUGUUAGGUGAUUAACAAUACCCCUCCCCCAGGUUAGUAAUAAAGAAUUACUGGAGAGAAGACAGACUUCUGGGUGGGACAGCUUACAAAUUAUACACUGAGCUCCAGGGAUGCAACACAGAGGAGCUGUCACCCAUUCAAAGGUAAGACUUUCCAUAUGCAGGUGCCUGUGAGACCCUUGCUCCUAUAGUUGAUUCUAAUGUACUCACUAGCUCCCCAAGCCUGACUUGUGGCAUCAUUUUUUUCAUCUACCGUCCGUGUCUAGAGUAAAUGGGUGUUUGUUCCCAUCUUCCCCAGAAAGAGUCACACAACAAAAUGAAGUGAUGGUUAGCAUGAAUCUCAGAUUAUGGCAAUCAACUGUAUACUGUGAUCCUUAAAGCAACUACUAAAAGAAUAACUCAAAAAUAAUUUGGAAUCAAAAGUAUAAGAUAAGACUAGAAAACCUCUACUACUUCAUACAAAAGUACAAGGCAAAAGGACACCUGAAGAACAAAAAUGAUGUAAGACACAGAAAGUAAUUUGAAAAUAGAUGAAAAUCCAACCAUAUAAGCACUAAAUAUAAGUGAAUUAAACACUCCAACAAAAACACAGGUUGUCAGACAAUUUAAAAAUAUAGUAGGAUGUGAAUAUAUACUAUUUACAAAAUAAAUACUUCAGAUAUAAAAAUAUAAAUAAAAAAGCAAAAUAUAUAUUGUCCUAGUUUGUUUUCUAUUGCUGUGAUAAAACACUGAAGAAAACCAACUUGGAGAGGAAAGGUUUAUUGGCUCAUAUGUUAUAGGCCAUCAUGGAAAGAAAGGAAGUCAAGGCAGAAACCUGGAGACAGGAACUAAACGCUACUUACUGGCUUUCUACCCCUGAUUUGCUCAGCUACUUUUCUUAUAUAGCCAGACUCACCUGCCUAGGGAUGGGACUGCCCAUAGUAAGCCAGGCCUUCCUCUAUCAGUUAGCAAUUAAGAAAAUGCCCUCAAAGGCAUGCUGGCCAAUCUAAUGAAGGCAAUUCCUGACUGAGCUUCCUCCACCCAAGUGUAUCAAGUAGACAAAAUAAUGCAUCACUUAUAUCAUGCAAAUAUCAACUACAAAAAGCUAAAGUAACUACACUACUAGCAGGCAAGACAGACAUCAUAAGAGAGGGAAAAAUAAUGUUACUAAAGACCCAAAUAGUUAGAGACCAGCCUGGACGCCAUAAAACCCUAACCAAAAAUCCAAUAUGGAUAGGCCUAAGUAACAGUUUACUAACAAAACCUACGCACCUGAGUUCAGAUCCCUUAGCUAAUGCUUUAAAAUAAAUAAAUAAAUAAAAAUAAAAUAGGCAUAGCCAUUUUAUUCAUAGCACUAGGGGCCUGAAGAGAGCCAGGAGGAUUGCUGGGAUUUGUGUGAUGUCUAUCAGUCUAGCUCCAGGUUCUGUAGAGAUUCUGUCUAAACAGAUACGGUGGAGAGUGACAGAGCAUUACACAAGUACACCAUUAUGCAUGGACACAACUGGCCCUCUGGCCCUCACACACAAAUGCAGAGGUUCAAACACACAUAUACCUUAUAAACAUAUGCCAUGCUCACAGACACUACAUACACACACACACACACACACACACACACACACACACACACUCAUUGCCACACCAAAUAAACCAAAACUGGUCAAACAGGACACUUAAUAGUGAUUAAAAAGAUUAAUUCAGGAAGAUCAGAUAAAAUAUGCAAGAAAAGAGCCACAAAAUACACAAAGCAAAAUCUAGCAAAACUGAAAAAAGAAAAGGACACUUCAAAAAUAAUACCAGGAGCUGGAAAAAUGGCUCAGUGGUUAAGAACAGUUGAACCUGGAGAGCCAGGUUCAAUUCCAGCAUCCACAUGGCAGCGCACAAUCAUCUUUAACUCCAGGGAUCUGACACCUCUUUGACUUCCAAGGACAAGAGGAACACAUGUAGUACAUAGACAUACAUGCAGACAAAACAUUCAUACACCUUAAAUAAAUUUUUUAAAGUAAAAAUAAAGAAAUAAUAGUGGAUGGUUGGCAAGAUAGCUCAGCAGGUCAGGUUUAGUGCCUGUGAGCUUCUGGGUUCAAUACUCAGAGCCAAAAGCAACAUAAAAUAAAUUCCCACACAACAAUUAGGAAAGGCAAAUAUUCACAUUCUCAAGAAACCCAGAGAAUUUACAAAAGAUAUCCACAUAACCAGCCAAUACAUAUAGAAAUAUUCAAAUAAAAUACAAUGGCACAUCACUACACAUCCAUCAGAAAGCCAAAGAUUUAAAGCAACAAACAUACCAAGUAGGAGAAAAAUUGGGAAAUAUUUAAAACCAUAAGUAAGACUGUAAAUUAAUACACUCUGUUAAACUAUUAACAAUACAUAUUGAAAUCAGACAUGUGCCUACCUCCUAGAUAUACUUUAGGGAAACUAAUGCUUAUGUAUAUAAAUAUGCACACAAGAGAUUGUUCAUAGACACAUUAUGUUCAUAGCCAGCAAUAUAAAGAAGUGAAAGUUCUACUGACAGAACAGAUAAACUGUGACAUCUUACAAAAUGGAAUACAAAAGCAACACAAAGAACAAGCUGCUGCUGACUCAGCACUAUGGGUUCAUCAAAACAGCAGCAGCAGCAGGAGGAGGAGGAGGAGGAGGAAGAGGAAAAGGAGGAGGAAGAAGAGGAAAAGGAAGAGGAGGAGGAGGGAGAAGAAAGCACCAGUAGCUGCUAGGCAGAAAUCACUUCUAUUUACCUGAAGCUCAAUAGGUUAAAACCCAAACACCUCCUUCACGAAAAUCUAACUGCUAUGGCAUGCGGCUCAGCAGCAGAAGGCCUGGCCAGCAUGCAGGCAGUGCUAAGUCCAGUCCUUCAUCUGAGUAACACAAAAGUGCAGAAAUGAGACCAGCAGUGUCUUGGGAGUCUGGUGUGGUGGGCACACAGGUACAUCUUGUAGGGUGCUAGAGACACCCCUGCCUUCAUCAUGAUGGUGAAUUCACAGACAGGCUAUGUCUAUCAAGACGAAGAUGUUCCGAUGGCAGCUGUACUGCUUACCUGUUCCAGAACGUCCAACUUUAACUCGAGUUUGCUGAGAACCACGUCCCCACCCCAUAGUGAAAGCUGGAGAUCUGAAGGUUUUAAGUUCUUGAUAUAGCGAUUCACAUAACUCAUUAAAAUUGGAGUUACGUACGACUCCAGCAUCUUCAAAUUUAAGCGUCGAAGUCAGAUCCUGAAAAGGGUAAAGACGGAAAUUUUGUAAGUAACUGAAUCGACAGGCAGCAACUGGAAAUGCACUUCUCAGGAAGCUUGGCAAGGCCGCUCUCCCGGAUCGCCCGCCCGCCCUCCGGGUCCGGGCGCGAGCUCCCCGCUAACUGAGCGCCUCACCUGACGAGGAGUAGGCAGAGAGGCUGGAGGCGGCCGGCCCCCGGGCGUGGGAGGACAGCACGUCCUGCUUCACUCCUACCCUAGCGCAGCCCAGCCAGAGGCGGUCGACUCCCGGAACGCAGGCGGAUCUCCGGCCAUAGGACCGAGCUGGCGUCAGGCCCGCUGCUGCCGCCGCCGCCGCACCCGCUCCAAGGUAAACACGCCACAGAGCGGCGGCGUGCGCUCUUCCUCCGGGUACCUGGCGUCCGCCGCGGAAACGCCUCACGCGUUCCGCGCCACUUCCGGGUGUGCGGGCUUCGCCGUCCGUCAGGUUUCCGCGGUGGGGACAAGGACCCCGCGCGUCUGCCUGCCUGGGACGACUCCGGCUUGGCUAGGCCGGGAUCCCCGCUGCCACCGCUCUGGGUUAGGAAUUAACUCUACGAAGAGCUCGGUGCGGGAUGCGGACCGGUAAAGUGGAAGCACCGGCGAUCCGGAAGUGGCGCUGCAGGGACACGGCGAUGGCCGGGACGUGACCCAAUACUGCCCAAGAGGCUUAGUAGUCGGAGGCGGCAGGAACGCAGGGUGCCGUGGAGGCGGGAGAAGUAGCCUUCGUUCUUCAAGCCCAGAAAAUUGAGAAACGGUUGUUUUCCGUGGCUACUGGAAGAACUGGAAAGAGGAACUGGGAUUCGGUAGGGUGGAGGUCAAAGACAGGUGGGAGGAGCUAAGAAAGGCGGAAGAUUUAAAUUUACUGCUGAAGUUUUUUUGCAAGGCCGGGAAAGUGGACGUGGGUACACAGUUGAGAUCAGGGGUGAACAGCUUAAAAGAGUGAGCUUAAACCAUACUGUACAUAAUCUCGUUCUCAAAGCAGAGGUGAAAUAGCCCCUAGUUAGUGUGCAUAGGGUGCAUGGAAUGGAGAGGACUGGCCUACCGUCUAAUAUGGAGGUCCCCAAAAAGCUGAGAGAAUGUGAAAAUAAGAGUCCUGAGCCAAAAGUGAAAUAAGUGGUAAGGACAGUGUGGAUUAUGUUACGAUGAAAUAGAUGUAUAGAUGUUAGUAGUGGUAACUUGUGGGCUAACAGCAAUAACUCAAACAUCUACCUUAGAAGAUAAUAGACUGAGUGGAUAGAAAUAGCAUGGGAUAUGCUGCCUUUUUUUUUUUUUUAAACCAGCCUCUCUUAAUUUUAGGUAACUUUUGAAGAAAACAUAGUGUCUUGAAAAUAGUUUUCCUUUAUAGGUUAUUCAAUGCCCACUCAUAAAACUUUUGAAAUUAAAAAAAAAUACUAUUUCUUGAGAGAAUUGGAGAUUGCUAUAGAAAAUGGUAUUCGUGAGACUGCCAAAGUUCAUUUUAAUAGUGAAAAUAAUGAAUUAGAUUUCGCAGGCAGAAAAAACAGCAAGCAAUUGCUAAUUCACAGCAGCUGCUUCCUCAAAAGCCUUAAUAAAUGACCAUGUAAUGUGAAUGUUAUGAAAGCCUAAUUAGCAAAAUAAACAUUUUUCUUGUUACCCAAAA